rnacentral:tRNA from 2 species
AAAAACUUAGUUAAACCCCCUAUAACAUUAACUUGUCAAGUUAAAAUUAUUCAAAGAAUAGUUUUUA